rnacentral:rRNA from 1 species
CAGCCGCCACGGGAAUACGAAGGGUGCAAGCGUUACUCGGAAUUACUGGGCGUAAAGCGUGCGUAGGUGGUGGUUUAAGUCCGUUGUGAAAGCCCUGGGCUCAACCUGGGAAUUGCAGUGGAUACUGGGUCACUAGAGUGUGGUAGAGGAUAGUGGAAUUUCCGGUGUAGCAGUGAAAUGCGUAGAGAUCGGAAGGAACAUCUGUGGCGAAGGCGACUAUCUGGGCCAACACUGACACUGAGGCACGAAAGCGUGGGGAGCAAACAGGAUUAGAGACCCGUGUAGUCCCUGUCUCUUAUAC